GACGAACGCUGGCGGCGUGCUUAACACAUGCAAGUCGAACGGUGAAGGGACUGGUUUUGCUGGUCCUGGAUGAGUGGCGAACGGGUGAGUAACACGUGAGUAACCUUCCCCCUUCUUCUGGAUAACCGCAUGAAAGUGUGGCUAAUACGGGAUAUUCUGGGUCUGUCGCAUGGUGGGCCUGGGAAAGAUUGCGCCUUUUUUGGUGUCUUUGGUGGGGGAUGGGCUCGCGGCCUAUCAGCUUGUUGGUGGGGUGAUGGCCUACCAAGGCGGUGACGGGUAGCCGGCCUGAGAGGGUGGACGGUCACACUGGGACUGAGAGACGGCCCAGACUCCUACGGGAGGCAGCAGUGGGGAAUAUUGCACAAUGGGCGCAAGGCUGAUGCAGCGACGCCGCGUGAGGGAUGGAGGCCUUCGGGUUGUGAACCUCUUUCGCCAGUGAAGCAGGCCUGCCUCUUUUUGUGGGUGGGUUGACGGUAGCUGGAUAAGAAGCGCCGGCUAACUACGUG
rnacentral:rRNA from 1 species